rnacentral:rRNA from 1 species
GACGUAGGGCGCGAGCGUUGUCCGGAUUUAUUGGGCGUAAAGAGCUCGUAGGCGGCUCAUUGCGUCAACCGUGAAAACCUGCCGCUCAACGGUAGGCUUGCGGUUGAUACGGGUGGGCUGGAGUUCGGUAGGGGAGACUGGAAUUCCUGGUGUAGCGGUGAAAUGCGCAGAUAUCAGGAGGAACACCGGUGGCGAAGGCGGGUCUCUGGGACGGUACUGACGCUGAGACGCGAAAGCGUGGGGGAGCGAACAGG